rnacentral:lncRNA from 1 species
CUCUCAGUAUCCUUCCCUACAAAUUCUGUCUUUAAGUUCUUAAGUCUAUAUAGACUAAGCAGAGGGGAUUUUGCUACUUUGGGAAAAAAGUGAAUUCUUUGACCUUGAAACAUUACUUGGAUUUUUUCUUUUUUUCUUGUUUGUCUGCAGUGAGAAUAGUAUCACUUUGUGAAGACACUACAAAAAAAAUAAUUUCAGGAGUCCUCUUGUCAUCUACAAGAAGAAGGAUUCACAGAUGUUUUAGCUGCAGGUCUAUAGGAAAGGUUUGUACAGUGCUGUUGUGAAAUCAAGGAUUUCCUGGACAAGGCAGUCUUUCUAUGAGGGCUGCAACAACGUCCUUUGAACAGGCUUGCCAAAAGCUUAGUGAAGCUGACACUGCUCUUCUUUUCCUCUCACCAAUGGCUAGAAUCCAGAAAGUUUCUUCAGAAUAGAAUAAAUAUUGUCAGAGAUAAGCAAGAAGAGAUUAUGAGACACUUAUUCUGGUCAAGUUUCCAUAAACUUCAAAAAUCCGAAUGGUGGUUUCUGUUGGGGAUUUUUAUUAAUAAUACCCAGGCUCUAAAACCUCAUGUCUAACAUGUUUCUUCCACACACAUCACCUUAAUUCCCCUCAGCCUUUUCACUUUCUCCCUGCUGUUUCGAUAUUGCAUUUGUCUGCACUGAAAUUGAAGCUGCCAAGGAUGGUUUUCUAUAGCAUUAGUUAACAUGGUUAUGCCAGUUCUUAUCUUUAAAAUUUCAUUAAAAAGCUAAAUAAAAUCUUUGUAAUAUUACA